rnacentral:lncRNA from 1 species
AAAUGACUGAACCAUCACAGAAGAACAACUCCACUCAAGAGGGGCGCACUAACCACAGGUUUCCAGAGAAAAGCAGUCAGAUUGGACAGAAGCAACUGCAACAGAUAGGACGGCGGCAGCUAAAGUGCUUAGCAUUUCAAAACCCUGGACCUCAGGUGGCAGACUUCAACUGAGACAAGGCAGCAGAGAAGGAAAGCGCGGAUGUCAAAGAAGGUGAAUGAAUACUUUUCUGUGAAGUACAAGGUGAUGAAGAAGUACGGCAAAAGCGGCAGGCUGAUCUGUGACGACGUGACGUGGACCUGUGUGACUGCCUGGAGAAGAACUGUCUGGGAUGCUUCUACCCGUGCCCCAAGUGCAACUCCAACAAGUGUGGGCCGGAGUGCCGCUGCAACCGCCGCUGGGUCUAUGAUGCCAUCGUCACCGAGUCCGGUGAAGUCAUUAGCACCCUGCCAUUUAGUGUUCCUGACUAGGAGAUGUUAUGCAUAGAUUCACAGACUAGAUUCACCUCUCUCCCUCUCCCUCUCCCCCUCCUCUUUCCCUCUUUCUCCUCCACCCCCCCCCCCCCCGCCUGCAUGUGCAUUUGUGUGUGAGGGUGUGCAUUUGUUUGUUUUGAAACAGGGUCUUAUUCUGUAGCUCAGGCUGGCCUUGAACUUAUGGCAAUCCACUUGCCUUAGCUUCCCAAGUUGUAUUAAUUUAGGUAUAGUACAUCAUGCCUGGCUUCUGUUCCUUAUACAUGCAUGCAUGCAUAUAUACAUACAUACCAACAAACAUUCAUGAAUGAAUGUAUGGCCCUAUAGAGAAUAUAUAUGUACACUUUUAAGUCAAACUUCUUUCUCUUGGAUAAGUGUUAGUGCAACGGAUGGCUGUAGACUGGACAAUCAUUGUAUAGACCCUCUCAGGUUCCUCAGCUGGUGACCACAGGCUGCAAGAGUGGACACUCAGUCGUCCUCAUUAGCAGCACUCUCAACUCUGCCUUCUCAGGGUGUCUGGUUGAGAACACCGUAAUUUUAAGUUUUGCAGAACUCUGCAUCUGAAAGCUGUUACCUAGAACAUACAACCAAUGUAUGUUUUUCUUGGAAUGUCAUAUAUUACUAAGAAAAGCCAACUUGUGCCCUUGUACUGUAUAUCUUUAGUCUUAUUUUUUAUAUUUUGAUGUUAAAUUUGGUAAUUACAAUAUUUUUAUUACCAAACAUUCAUAUUGUACUAAAUUGUAUAUUAGUUUACUAAAUUGAGAAGCAAAGAA